UGGUGUGUCUCACCCAUGCCUUUUUUCUUCUUCUUUUUUUCCUCCCCUCUCUUCCCUUUCUCUGCGCUGGUGGAUCGCCCGUAUGUGCGCCCGUGGGAGCACCGGCGGCGGCCCGCUCGCCCACCUACCGCACGCGCGCUCGGCCGAGGGACCUCCACCGUUUGCCUUCCCUCCAGCCGAGACCCGCCCUUGCGCCUCCCGCCAAGCAGCCUCCCGCCGAACCCGCCCUGCGCUGGUGGCCGGAGUGCCGCGCUCCCCUCCAGCGGCCUGCAGGCUCGAAGCCGGCGGCCGGGGUGCUCGCGCGCCUCCCCUCCAGCGGCCUGCAGGCUCGGACGCCGCCGCCGGGAGGAGCGCAGCCUGCGGGCUCGGCUGCAGCUGCCGGCACACGCGCGGGCUGCGGGCUGCACACGCCGCCGCCGGCCGCGCCGAGACGACCACCGUCAACACCACGAGGCUCUACGGUUUCGCAAUUUGCUUGGCUGCAGGCCUGACGUGCACCUCCUUGUGAUCCAGUCAAUGAUUGUUUUCUUCAAUACGGUGAAAUUUGGGGUAACAUUGACCCAUGGCAACUUGAUGGCCCUUGGAAGGUCAUUCUCCGACCUGGGAACUGUUGUGGAGAACUCUAAUUUUGAGCUCAUUGGUGACAGGUUAACUUUGAUGCAAAGACCGAAUAUCACAUGAUCCAGAACUACAAGAUUCUUCAGGAUGUGUUCAACAAGUUGCACAUAGUUAAGAAUGUAUCUGUAAGAAUUAACAGAUCCGGACGCAGCAUGUAUCUGUAAGAAUUUACAAUAAAAUUGUGUUUCAUUGAUCACAACGUCUUCAUGGUUCAUUUUGUUUGCCUUUUGCAUUAAUAAGCGUGUGACACUAGAAGUAGCAUCUAUGCACAAAAUCUAUGUAUCUGACCAUCUGCUCCUCGUAUGGUCAUUUUGCAGAUAUUAUUCUGAAGAUAAGAAUGGUGGUGGAAUCUCUGCAUUGAUUUUGUAGGGAUUGCAUUGAUAAAUCCAUGCGGCUUGGGUAUGUUCCUAGAUAUUCAUGUUACAACAUUUUCAGCUAGUAGUAACAAAAUUAACUUCCACAGUCUGCCAGUGAUACCUCAAAAAGCUUGUUGCUACGUCGGUGAGCUCUUCCCUUUUCCUUUCUUUUGGUUCAUUUUUUUUGUUCAAGUACUCUGUGUAACUUGGUAUUAUACAUCUCGGUUAAGCUUUGCAAUAGUUCAUAGCUCUGAAUUGCUUCAAAAAUGAAUCUAACACUUGCUGCUGAUUGCUUGAUUGAUUUUUUUUUACCAAUGACACCACUUCACCGAAGGCUUGCUGUUUUAUACUCCGAUAGACUUAAAAAUUAUACAGAGAUACUAAACAAUUCAAGGUAGCAUAAUUUACCAUUUGAACCAUGGUGCCACUGUUUCAAAAAUUGGAACUUUCGGAAACUAGAUGUCAUUUAUCGUGUGGAACUUUAAACAUACUAUCUUCUUGCAUUUUUCAAUGUUUCAAAGACAAGAGAAUAACCUAGCUACAUGAUUUCAGGGAAUGCAAAAAAUUUUGUGCAUCUUAGGCGGCCUCUGCUUUGAUAUUUUGAAGGCAUAUUCGUAUAUAACUCUUAUUUGUUCCCAAUGUUUGCAGAGGCAAAAAUUGCUCGAUGCUGUCGCACCCGGUGACCAUCUUGAUGUGGACAUUCAAAUGGAGGAAGGAAAUUUUACUCAGUGGAUGUGUUUGUGUAAUCAACAUAAUAGCUCUGUUUUUUGUGUGAAACAUAUAUUUUUCAAUUUGGUGUAUGGAUCAUAUGUUGUUUGGUGUAAGUUUGAAAUUUACCCGUGCCAUUAGCACGGGCACAUUACUAGUCAUCUUUAAA